GUGAUCAGCGGUAGGGCACAGCGAUGUAGCAACCUCGCGUGCGUCUCUUUGGCUCUUCUCUCGUUAAAAUGGAUGCUCAAGCUCAGACUCAAGCCCAGACUUGGACUCAAGCUCAGACAUUGUUGAACUUGUAAAAGGAAAGCAGCAGCUUUUAACAUCAAUAAUCAUAAAAAUACUGAAAAUAGAACC